AGAAUCAACGCUGGCGGCGUGCCUAACACAUGCAAGUCGAACGAGAAAGUGGAGCAAUCCAUGAGUAAAGUGGCGACCGGGUGAGUAACACGUGACUAACCUACCCUAGAGUGGGGAAUAACCUCGGGAAACCGGGGCUAAUACCGCAUAACAUCGCAGAGGGAAGCUCUUUGCGAUCAAAGGAGCAAUUCGCUCAAGGAGGGGGUCGCGGCUGAUUAGUUAGUUGGUGAGGUAACGGCUCACCAAGACUUAGAUCAGUAUCCGGCCUGAGAGGGCGCACGGACACACUGGAACUGAAACACGGUCCAGACUCCUACGGGAGGCAGCAGUGGGGAAUUUUGCGCAAUGGGGGAAACCCUGACGCAGCAACGCCGCGUGGAGGAUGAAGUCCCUUGGGAUGUAAACUCCUUUCGAUCGGGACGAUUAUGACGGUACCGGAAGAAGAAGCACCGGCUAACUCUGUGCCAGCAGCCGCGGUAA
rnacentral:rRNA from 1 species